AGUGGAGCAGCUGACCGGUCCAAGAUGGCGGCCCCACCGCUCGUCAGCCCCAAUAGGCAGUAACGGUCGAUGCGGCGUCUACUCUUUAUUAUGUCUAUGGUAUCGCACAUGUCUGCAUCUUCAAACCAUAAACAGGAAGUGAAUUCGGUGACGUACGUGCAUUACGUUUGUGCUGGGAGCUGCUAUGAUUGGUGGAACUCACGGGAGGCGGGCCAAAAUUGCGGGAAAGUUGCGGUGAUUGGACAAAAUUGCAAGGCCGCAAUUAUAUCAAUGACUUUUUGUUUUCAGAGCUAGCUGUCACUCACACAUACUCAUUAAAUUAGGUUAAUUAAUAUUUUCCCAAAACCAAACUUACAGAAAGAUGCACAACAUCUAUGCUAAACAUGCAGUUAUGUUACAAGCCAGACAGCAUACUACAGAGGUUUACUAAGAGACCAGUGUUACGGCCGUGGCCGUAUUUGUUUUGUUUUUUUGUUGUAGUUUCGAACUGUUUUAUUGUCUGGGAGUGGGUGCUCUGUGGAUUCUGUGUAAAUCUUUGUGUGCAGGAGGCGUGGUUGGCGGACAAUGCUGAUUGGCUGGCUGUUAUUUCAAAUCCUGGCGGCCAGCAGUGAUGGAGGAGCCACUUUGACAGCAGCACCCUUUGUGUGUCUCCCCAGCCUCCAAAUAUUUGAAUUCGAUUAGAGUAGCGGAGUUUUGUUGUUUGGUUUAGUAUUUUUUUUUUUUUUUGCUUAUUGUGUAUGUUUUUGGAUUGGAUAUUUUCUUUUGUUUGAGAGCAAGAAACGCCUCUUUAGUUUGUAUCCGUCUUUUGUUGGUUUUGAAUGAACAGCCCAUGCAGUGGCCUCUUUAAGUUGUAGUUAUAUUGCAAAAUAAAUUCUGGUAUCUUUUUAGAACUUGUUAGACUGUUGUUUCUUUUGGGGACUGGGGAAAUAUUCGGGGUUAUUUUUUUCUUCUUUUUUUUACUUUAUGUUGUGCACCCUACCCCCUAGACAGGGGCAUAACACCAGACACACAUACUACUGGUGAAAGUGCAGUUUGCAUGAAAAUUGUGUACUUAAAAAUCACAUUUUGAUGAAAUGUACUUAAAUACACAAAUCACAUGACAAAACCAAGUGCCAGAAAAAUGUUAAAUUACACAAAUAAAAUGCACCAGAGGCCACCAAAUAGCACUAAAAAAAUUUAAAUUAUAAAUACUUCUUGGGAACACUCUGGUAUUAUGUCAGGAGUCAGUAAAAAAAUAUUUUCUUACCAUUUCUGUGUAGCUUUUAGCUCAGUGUGGUCAGAGAUCUUCUCAGUCACUGCAGUGAGAGCUAGCUGCUCUUUGACCUCAGACUGCCGCGGAGUUCAGGAGAAAAGGAGCGCUUGAUUUAUGACACAGCUUACACCACUGAAUCAAUGCAUGUUGUGACACAAGCAGGAAGAGACUGUCAGGUCACUCCUUUCACAAAACAAAUGCAUCUUCAGCCCACCAGCCUGUACAGUUUGGCUCAUAGCCAGUGAAUGGGGAAAAUAAAUUGAACUCUGUUCUCAAUAUGAACAAUUUCUGAAUUUGUGCCAUUUAUAUUACUCUUUAUUAAUUAAUAUUAUCAUUGCAUUUAGUCUAUAAGAGCUUGUAGGCUUCUUGGGCACGUAAAAGUUAAGGUUUAUGUAUUUUUGUGCACACCAGCAUGUACAAUAUACAACAUGUGUUCAGCUCCUGAAGCUUUUAACUCAGAUUAGCCAGUAAAUGGGAAAAUAAGUUGGUUUAGACAUUAUCUUUAGCUGUCUGUAUCACUUAGCAGGGACAGCUUUACUAGCUAGCAGUAACAACAUGGUAGAUUAGCUGAACCCAGUUAGCUCCAUAACUGUGGGGUGGGGGAGGGGCAUAGUCAGGGUGGGGACUCCAAAGGUCUGGUUCUGUGUGACAGCUCAGGUUUUACUGAGACUGGGAGCAGGAAGAGAAUGAAAGGCAGCUGUCAGCUGAAAUGUAAUUGUAUAAAGUUAUAAUACAUGAAUAGUUAAAUGAAUUAAUUGAACUCAUUUCUCAAUACUAACAAUCUCAUAAUUUGUGAAGCUUUUAACUCAGGGUAGCCAGUGAUGGUCUACAUCACUAGUCUCCUUCUUGCUUGGUCACUCAGUUUGUGAGGACAACCUGCUGCAGGCAGAUUUCCUUCCAUUUCCUAAUGAUGGAUUCAGAGGGGGCAUAUCAUGGAAAUGUCACUUUUUCAGUGCUUGUACACUUAAAUAUAGGUCUCUAGUGUGUCUGUUCAAAGUAAGACAACCCACAGAGUUUUUUGUGAGCAGACUCGGUCAACAAUCACACGAUUCAACGAUCCGUUUAGAUUCUGAGUCUCUCUGUGACAUCAGUGUCUCCAUGAGGAUGUCAUCAUGCCCCCUGUCAGUAUUUUCACCCACAGACUUAGAGCUAUCACUGUGAAGGUGCACAGUUUUUCUCACAGGCACCAGAUACACUAGCAUUAUGUUGAGUGACUGAAGAGAUGGAAGAGGACAGCAGUGGAUCAGUAUGACAGGAACUAAAACAGAGUAUGUUGAACAAAGCUGUUUAGACAGAGGGAGAGGAGUGCUGUGCUGCUUGAGGGUAUUUUCACCAAAGCAUGUCACAGACUUUUCACCUCGGCAUUAAAGAAGUUUUUUUGUUUUUCUUUUUGUUGUAAAUUAUAUAUUGAGGCCUCAAGCAGUUGAUGUGGACUGGUCCAUAACUGCCUAUGCAUUCUCCAUUUGCCCUGUUGCUUUCAGGAGGUCUUGAUCCACCUCAUUUGGAUGCUGUAUUUUUGUGGCUUAACUGCUCUGCUCGGCACAUUUCAUACACGAGGGCAGCUCAGUGUGCUUUACAUGAAAACACUGCAACACUGGAGGUAUUCAGAUAAGCAUAAAAAGCACAAUUUAAAUAAUAAAUAUGAUAAAACAUAGAAAAGAACAGGAAAAUUAAAAAUAUAUUUAAAACAUAAAACUACAAUUUGCAUUUAAAAUAAUGUAAAAUAAGCUAUAAUAAGAAAGCAGAGGCAAGCAGAAAAGUUUUGAUCUGUGAUUUAAAAGAAGUGAGACUUGGAGCAGACCUACAGCUUUCAGGGACUUUGUUCCAGAUAUGUGGAGCAUAAUAAGCAAACGCUGCUUCACCGUGUUUAGUUCUAACUCCAGGGACUGAAAGCAGACCAGGACCUGAAGACCUCAGAGGUCCAGAUGGUUUUGUUUCAAAAAGUGUAAUGGUAUAACUUAAUUAUAGGUUCUUUUGCUUGGAACAUGACAUUGUACAAUUAAAUUUAACAUGUUUAAUCCCACUGCACUGAUACUGUAAAAUUCAACAUUAUUGUUGUAUUUUUAAAUUAAUCAACCAUAAACUACUACAGAGCUCCCUGAAUUCAGGUUAGUACAUGUAAUUUGUAUGUGUAUGUUAUAAUUACAUGGAUGCAUUGCAAAUGGGUGUCAACAUGUCAUGAUAUCUACAGGUAUGGCUCUAAACUAGACCUGACACAAAAAGGGCAUUACACUUUUUGAAGGUAGUCACUUUUAACAAAGAACCAAACAUACAUAAUACUACCAUUGGAAUGACUACUAAUACUUGUAUCCCAAUUUAAAGUAGUGAAAAGCAAAAACCGAUUUUGACAUCACCCAUGCCAUUCUGAGUAAGAAUAUCUCAGUAACUACAAAUAUAACCCUGCUGCUUUUUGUACAGUGAUAGAAGACAGAUGGAACUGUCUUGUAGAAACAUUUGGGGUCUCUGGUACCUGUCCCACACUGAGAUUUUUGCCCCCCAAAAUAGCCAAUUAAAAAUCUCGUCCAACUUUGGGAGCUCAUAUUUUCCAAACUGAGGUACCUAGAAAGCUCCAGUUUGCUAAGUUAUCACACAAGUUUGUGUAGAAUGGAACCCAGGGGUGUUAGAACACUUCUGUGCAGUAUUUCUAGUACUUUUAAGGUCCCAAACCCCACUCGCGAGUAGGUGUCUCUUAAUUUUUUAGCAUUUUUAUCAAGCCCUCAUGGCCUACAGAGUGUAGAUCAGGGGUCAGCAACCUUUAACACUCAAAGAGCCAUUUCAACCCGUUUCUCACAGAAAAGAAAACACCGGGAGCCGCAAAAUCCUUUUGGCAUUUAAAAUGAAGACAACACUGCAUAUAUCGCUUUUUUACCUCUAUGCCCUUGUUAAUCAGUCGUGAUUAAUUAAUUACAAAGCCUCUAAUUAGAUAGAUUCAUUUUUUAAAUUGUGUCCUUCCACUAAUAUUUAUCUUACUUGGUUAAUGUCAUUUUUGCUCCUGGACCUCAUUUGUUACGUAAUGUUAGCUGGAAAUCAAUAUUUUGUGAAUGUCUAUUUAACUUGUAAAAUCUAUUUAUCUUAAGCUAAUAACUUUUCUCCAGUAAGUCGCUGUUCUAUUUUCCAAGACGACACUCCUCUGACUCUCUGACCUGCUGCCUGGACAUCGAGCCGUGUUCUUGCGAGUAACGUGUAUUACCCUAUCAUGUGUACCGUAUUUUCACGACCAAAAGGCGCAGUCUCAGUUAUGUGUGCCAUUACUGUAUUUAACACACACAUAAGGCGCACCUGAUUAUAUGGCGAGGGUUUUAUAUACAAUCCACGCCCACACUUCCCCCUUUAACGUUCUCAUGGUGUCCUCUACUACGUCGGCCUUAAAACAACAACAACACACACACAAGCACACAAGUGUGCGUAUUUAAAAAUAGAGCGGGAGCAAAACUGAGUUUGGUAUUCACAUUUUUUUUACCGGUAAUCGUCAUCAAUCAAACCCAUGGAAGUCCUCAUCCUCUGUUUCUGAAUUGAACAGCUGCACUAAACCUCCAUCAAACAUGCCAGGCUCACUUUCUUCACUGUCAGAGUCACUUUCCGUGCCGUGCGGCGCCUCGGAAAUGAUGCCGGCUUUUGCGAAAGCUCGAACAACAGUGCCAGCAGACACGUUAGCCCGAGCAUCUACAAUCCAUUGGCAAAUUGUGGCGUAACUCGCCCGGCGCUGCCUUCCACUCUUAGUGAAACUGUGGUCUCCAUCGGUCAUCCAUCGCUCCCACGCCGCUCGCAGCCUUACUUUGAACGGCCGGUUCACACCGAUGUCCAGCGGUUGGAGUUCCUUUGUCAGGCCUCCCGGAAUGACAGCAAGCUCAGAGUUCAUUUGCUUCACUUGUUUUUUCACAUCGGCUGUGAGAUGGGCACGCAUAGAGUCACAGAUCAACAGCGAUGGUGAUGCGUGGAAAAAAACACCUGCUCUACGUCCGCCUUACAACAACACACACAGGACGCACUGCACCAUAGGGCGCGCCGCACAAUUUGAAGAAAAUCUAAGACUUUUAUGUGCGCCUUAUAGUCGUGAAAAUACGGUACUUUUGACUCAAAGACAGACGUGUCUUUCUUGGAGUGGAGCUUUAAUAUACAGGCUUGCCAUUCUUGAGUACAAAACGAUGUGAAACUACAGGCGUUGCUUCUCCAUAGUGAUGGGACAAAUGAACCGAGGCAUCGAGGCGUGUCUCGAGUAAAAGUGGGCGUGUCAGAUGAAGCUUCGCUUCGAGGCUUGGGUCGCUUCUGAAAAAGUCACGUGACCGAUGACAAACGAGGCCUCGGUUUGUGCAGAUCACGUGAUUGGUUCGUUCAACGUAUCGCUGUCCCAUAAAAACGUUUCAGAUCUCGAGCCCCACUGUGGGUGUUGUUGGCGUUUGUGGAGAGAGGAGUGAGAGCGAGUUGUAGUUAGUAUUAUUCAGUAAGUAUUAUUAGUUAGUAUUAUUCGGUGUGAAAUACCAGAGCAGUAGCUGGAGGAGUAGGAGAAGUGUAGGAAGAGCAGCAGUUUAGAUUAUUUCCCAACUGCAGUGCUUUGAUGUGAGAUAUUAUAUAUAUUUUUCUUUUACAUUGGUUUAUGGGUUGUGUAAAAUUAUGGGUGUUUGUGUGUGUCAGUUUUACCAUUUGUAAAUGUCACUCCUGUAUUUGGUGUCUGCACCUUCUGUCACCUUCUUCAGUCACAUGGGAACUAGACACUGACGUGUAUGUAAAGAAGCCACUGGGAGCCACAGUUCUACAGCAGGGCCUGCAAAGCAUGUGUUAGUUUGUGUGUUACCUAUUCUGAAAGACAACAUGUGUAAGUGAAAUAUGAACAAAAGUUGUAUUUAUUAUUAAUAAAAUGAGCUGUAAGCUAUACACUGA